GACAGAGGAUGCAAGCGUUAUCCGGAAUUAUUGGGCGUAAAGCGCGCGCAGGCGGUUUCUUAAGUCUGAUGUGAAAGCCCACGGCUUAACCGUGGAAGGUCAUUGGAAACUGGGAGACUUGAGUGCAGAAGAGAAGAGCGGAAUUCCACGUGUAGCGGUGAAAUGCGUAGAGAUGUGGAGGAACACCAGUGGCGAAGGCGGCUCUUUGGUCUGUAACUGACGCUGAGGCGCGAAAGCGUGGGGAUCAAACAGG
rnacentral:rRNA from 1 species